CAACAGAGUCACCCAGGCUCCCGGAGGGUUGGUAAUUUAAAUAAGGCAAGUUGACGUCAGCCUCAUUAAGAAAGUGAAUAUUUGGGGGCGCCUGGGUGGCGCAGUCGGUUAAGCGUCC